rnacentral:rRNA from 1 species
AGGAAUAUUGGUCAAUGGGCGCAGGCCUGAACCAGCCAAGUAGCGUGAAGGAUGACUGCCCUAUGGGUUGUAAACUUCUUUUAUAAAGGAAUAAAGUCGGGUAUGUAUACCCGUUUGCAUGUACUUUAUGAAUAAGGAUCGGCUAACUCCGUGCCAGCAGCCGCGGUAAUACGGAGGAUCCGAGCGUUAUCCGGAUUUAUUGGGUUUAAAGGGAGCGUAGAUGGAUGUUUAAGUCAGUUGUGAAAGUUUGCGGCUCAACCGUAAAAUUGCAGUUGAUACUGGAUAUCUUGAGUGCAGUUGAGGCAGGCGGAAUUCGUGGUGUAGCGGUGAAAUGCUUAGAUAUCACGAAGAACUCCGAUUGCGAAGGCAGCCUGCUAAGCUGCAACUGACAUUGAGGCUCGAAAGUGUGGGUAUCAAACAGGAUUAGAUACCCUGGUAGUCCACACGGUAAACGAUGAAUACUCGCUGUUUGCGAUAUACUGCAAGCGGCCAAGCGAAAGCGUUAAGUAUUCCACCUGGGGGGUACGCCGGCAACGGUGAAACUCAAAGGAAUUGACGGGGGCCCGCACAAGCGGAGGAACAUGUGGUUUAAUUCGAUGAUACGCGAGGAACCUUACCCGGGCUUAAAUUGCAGAUGAAUUACGGUGAAAGCCGUAAGCCGCAAGGCAUCUGUGAAGGUGCUGCAUGGUUGUCGUCAGCUCGUGCCGUGAGGUGUCGGCUUAAGUGCCAUAACGAGCGCAACCCUUGUUGUCAGUUACUAACAGGUUCCGCUGAGGACUCUGACAAGACUGCCAUCGUAAGAUGUGAGGAAGGUGGGGAUGACGUCAAAUCAGCACGGCCCUUACGUCCGGGGCUACACACGUGUUACAAUGGGGGGUACAGAGGGCCGCUACCACGCGAGUGGAUGCCAAUCCCCAAAACCUCUCUCAGUUCGGACUGGAGUCUGCAACCCGACUCCACGAAGCUGGAUUCGCUAGUAAUCGCGCAUCAGCCACGGCGCGGUGAAUACGUUCCCG